rnacentral:rRNA from 1 species
AGUGAACGCUGGCGGUAGGCCUAACACAUGCAAGUCGAACGGCAGCACAGUAAGAGCUUGCUCUUACGGGUGGCGAGUGGCGGACGGGUGAGGAAUACAUCGGAAUCUACUUUUUCGUGGGGGAUAACGUAGGGAAACUUACGCUAAUACCGCAUACGACCUACGGGUGAAAGCAGGGGAUCUUCGGACCUUGCGCGAUUGAAUGAGCCGAUGUCGGAUUAGCUAGUUGGCGGGGUAAAGGCCCGCCAAGGCGACGAUCCGUAGCUGGUCUGAGAGGAUGAUCAGCCACACUGGAACUGAGACACGGUCCAGACUCCUACGGGAGGCAGCAGUGGGGAAUAUUGGACAAUGGGCGCAAGCCUGAUCCAGCCAUACCGCGUGGGUGAAGAAGGCCUUCGGGUUGUAACGCCCUUUUGUUGGGAAAGAAAAGCAGCAGGUUAAUACCCCGCUGUUCUGACGGUACCCAAAGAAUAAGCACCGGCUAACUUCGUG